CUGGCAUGGGAUGAGGACACCGGUCUGCCAAAGCACCUGAGCUCCACCCACAGAACUGACACCUGAAUCCUGUUAUUCCCCACAAACACACAGCUUUGGAGAAAGCUUCCAAGAAACAGCUGACCACAAGGAUGAAACUCGUGUGGGAGGAAGAGGGAGCAUGCUUGGCAGCUGGCCUCCGACACAUGAAUCGCUGCCACAGGAGGACAGGUUAGGAGGAGAGCUCUGCUUAAUUUAAACAUGCCUGCAAGUAUCCAAGAUCACGUUAAACUGGCAAGUGAAUUAAGGAUC